GACGAACGCUGGCGGCGUGCUUAACACAUGCAAGUCGAACGGAAAGGCCCUGCUUUUGUGGGGUGCUCGAGUGGCGAACGGGUGAGUAACACGUGAGUAACCUGCCCUUUACUUUGGGAUAACUUCAGGUAACUGGGGCUAAUACCUGAUAGGAGCUCCUGCUGCAUGGUGGGGGUUGGAUAGUUUCGGCGGUUGGGGAUGGACUCGCGGCUUUUCAGCUUGUUGGUGGGGUAGUGGCUUACCAAGGCUUUGACGGGUAGCCGGCAUGAGAGGGUGACCGGCCACAAUGGGACUGAGAAACGGCCCAGACUACUACGGGAGGCAGCAGUGGGGAAUAUUGCACAAUGGGCGGAAGCCUGAUGCAGCAAGGCCGCGUGCGGGAUGACGGCCUUCGGGUUGUAAACCGCUUUAGCCUGUGACGAAGAGUGAGUGACGGUAAUGGGUAAAGAAGCACCGGCUAACUACGUG
rnacentral:rRNA from 1 species